rnacentral:rRNA from 1 species
UCAAUAAGCGGAGGAAAAGAAACCAACAGGGAUUGCCCUAGUAACGGCGAGUGAAGCGGCAACAGCUCAAAUUUGAAAUCUGGCUCUUUUAGAGUCCGAGUUGUAAUUUGCAGAGGGCGCUUUGGCGGUGGCAGCGGUCCAAGUUCCUUGGAACAGGACGUCACAGAGGGUGAGAAUCCCGUACGUGGUCGCUACCCAUCGCCGUGUAAAGCCCCUUCGACGAGUCGAGUUGUUUGGGAAUGCAGCUCUAAAUGGGAGGUAAAUUUCUUCUAAAGCUAAAUACUGGCCAGAGACCGAUAGCGCACAAGUAGAGUGAUCGAAAGAUGAAAAGCACUUUGGAAAGAGAGUCAAAAAGCACGUGAAAUUGUUGAAAGGGAAGCGCAUGCAGCCAGACUUGCCUGUAGUUGCUCAUCCGGGCUUUUGCCUGGUGCACUCUUCUGCGGGCAGGCCAGCAUCAGUUUGGGCGGUUGGAUAAAGGUCUCUGUCAUGUACCUCUCUUCGGGGAGGCCUUAUAGGGGAGACGACAUGCAACCAGCCUGGACUGAGGUCCGCGCAUUUUGCUAGGAUGCUGGCGUAAUGGCUGUAUGCGGCCCGUCUUGAAACACGGACCAAGGAGUCUAACAUCUAUGCGAGUGUUUGGGUGUCAAGCCCGAGCGCGUAAUGAAAGUGAACGGAGGUGGGAACCCAUUUGGGUGCACCAUCGACCGAUCCUGAUGUCUUCGGAUGGAUUUGAGUAAGAGCAUGGCUGUUGGGACCCGAAAGAUGGUGAACUAUGCUUGAAUAGGGUGAAGCCAGAGGAAACUCUGGUGGAGGCUCGCAGCGGUUCUGACGUGCAAAUCGAUCGUCAAAUUUGGGCAUAGGGGCGAAAGACUAAUCGAACUAUCUAGUAGCUGGUUCCUGCCGAAGUUCCCCUC